AACAACGUUGGAAGUAGCCAUCCAGGCUUGAUCUCAGGUUGGCCCAUACAAGGAGUGACACUGCUGACCUGCCCAGGCACAGGAUCUCAGCCAGGCCUCAGGACUGAUCUUGCUCUGAGUAAGCCCAGAGACCCCCUCAACUUUAACACCAGGAUGCCAGACAUCUGUUCUACAUGGCUCUCCACCUUGGCCGCAGUUCAAUUUCCAAUGACUUCCAUGAACUCCAUUGUGAAAUCCAAGUGCAAGCCUCUCUUUGCACCAGGACCAGCCCAUGACUCCUGAACACAGACUUGCAGUUUACAGAUGCCCUCACCAGCCUCCCCUGAACCAAAUGGCUUUGGGAAGCACCCACCACCCUGAGGAAAGUACACCUCAUCCUCUUGCUUGUCCUUCUCCUGCUGAUUGACAGUCUCAAGCCCUAAAAGCCAUGCUGUAGUAGUUGAAAAACAAAGAAAAUUUAGACAAAUACCUUUAUCACUCUAAAAUCAGGACAACAGUGAUGCCUACUUUGCCUGCUGUGGUCUUUGCUGGUUGCUAAAUGGCCAAAAUGAUCCUUGGUGGUUCAAGGGGGAAGAGAGCAGGACCUGAAACAAGAACUUGACAUCUGACAUUUGCCAGUCCUGUUCAUGAAGCAGCUGGCCCAUAGGCAGGAGCUCCUGCCUGAGCACGCCUGCUGCUCAGCACAUCUCUGCAGCAAACCCUUCUGGCUUGACAGCUGUAAUGAUAAAUACUGUAACUGGGCUGACAUUUUGGCCUGGCAGGGCCUUUCCUAAGUCUCAGCUGGGAGUGAUUGCUUUAAUGAAGAAUGCUAAUAGAUUAAUAGUUUGCCCUGGAGUUGUUACUUCUAGUGUAGAAGGUGCCGAGUUGUUUUUAAUGGUGGUUGUUUUCUUUUAAUAACAUAUGUGGAGCUUUCUGGGGGAUGUGACAGUGCUCCUCACCUAAAAGGUGGGGGCAGACUCUGGAAAACUUGUGGUGUCCUUGUCACUUGCAUUAUUCUUUGUGACCGUGCAAGGUGUGAUGCAACCAGGGGAAACAGGAGCCAAAGAGGGAAGUUCAGUUCUAGUCCCUGUUAUGGGUUUGCUGAGAAAGGAGUUUGAAGCGUACCCCAAAAGAGACAAGGGUUUACAUAUGCAGACCCAGGUUUAUGCAGAUGGGAUCAUCAACUCCACAGGAAAUGUUUCUCAAGAUGUUUUUCCCAUUGAAGCAAAGGAAGAAAUGGUCAUUGAUGCAGGGAGGAGGCAUCAGCCCUUGGUGAGUUGCAUUAGUCUGACUGAAAGAUAUGGUGCAUCAGCUUAUGGGGCUUUGCAACCAGACCAUCUGUUGAAUGAGCAGGGAACGUGGUUGAAGCAGUAUAAAGCAGGCCAACCCAAUGUUUUUUUUUGUCUUUUGUGUUGCCUGUGGUUUUAGAAAACAUUUUGGAGUAGCAGAACAGAUGAGGGAGACAGAGAUGUAACUACUGCUGGGUAUGCUCAGCCUUCAGCUCCUGCUCUUCUGCCCACAGAAUGAGGGAAGACUUGAACAGAACUAAAAGACAGCCCAUGACUACCAGUUGCAGAAAUUACACAGAUGUGGAUGCAAAGUACCACAACACCCCUGGCCACUGCCAGGUGCCUACUUCUCUGCCUACAUUACAGAAUAAACCUCAGUUGACACUGUUUACCUUGUCACAUCUCUUGUAUGAGAUACCUUAUCUCACAGCAUCUGACAAAACAUCCCAGGCACUCAAGGUAAAUCAGGAGAAGAAAUGUAGCAUGGUCUUUCCAGGUUUGGGCAAAUGAGUACGGAAACAGGCUAUUUGGGGUAGAAGUAAAUGGAAGUUAUGAUCUUCCCCUUUGAUUUGAAUCUUCCAUCACACCUGAUGUGUGGUCUGGUAGGAUUAAGUUAUGCAUCUGUCUUUCAAAGAGCAAGAUCCUACAAGCUGCUAUCCAAACUUUAGCUGUUGUCUGCUAAUCAAGUUGACAAAAAUUAAUCUCUAACAUCAGCUGUGAGGCAGCCGGUAACUUGAUUCCUAUCACUGAGGUUUCAGGGUAGUGCAGGGUAAUGAGACUGUCCUUGUAACUUCAGUUAGUGAAAAAUGGUAGUGCCUUAUUAUUUGUUGAAUCACUCUUGAUAUUUGAUACUGUUUAUCAUCAAAUGCUGCUAACCUGUGUGGAGAAGCCAUGUCUAUCAGUGGAAGCUCCAUGAAAUCGUUCUGUUCCUUCUCCUGAGGUGGAGCUGGAGGAGGCUCGAGCAGCAGUUGUUUUCCUGUGUCCAAACUCCUCAUCUGUGGCAGCUGACAAGGCUUCUUCCAUACACAUGUGAAACGACUGGAGAGCUGGGGAGAUCACAUGACCACAGUAAAAGCAGUAGCUUAUGAGACUCCUUUUCACUAUUCCUUGGUGGAGAAGGCAAGCAAGGGCUCUCAACAGUGCAGCUGGCACCAGGCAGCUCUCCUCUCAUCUGCCCAAACGGUACAGAGGUUGGACCAUUACUGGCAAGAUCAUCACUCUUGUUCAGUUGUGCUACAACAUUGAACUCACAGAUCAUGCCAUCACUAUGAGUAUUAUGCCUUUUUCUACAGAAAUUUUGGCUGCAUCCUCAUGCAGACUGACUAUAGGUGCAUAACUGAUCAGCGUGGGCUUCCUGUGCAGCUAAAAUUGUAGACUAGCCAACCUUAAGGGAGCUUUUUCUUUUUUUUUUUUUUCCCCAGAGUAAAACUGAUCAUCUAAAGCCCAUCUAGAAUACUAGUAGUUAACAUUGAUCUCAGCUGUGGCUGUGGAGCCUCAUAAUUUUAAGAAAUUGGGCCUUGCGUUACCUGUUAGAGACCACACAGCUAGCCAGUGAUGAGUGUUGUACU